rnacentral:rRNA from 1 species
GAUGAACGCUGACAGAAUGCUUAACACAUGCAAGUCCACUUGAACUUCGGUUUGGGUGGCGGACGGGUGAGUAACGCGUAAAGAACUUGCCUCACAGAUAGGGACAACAUUUGGAAACGAAUGCUAAUACCUGAUAUUAUGAUUUUAGGGCAUCCUAGGAUUAUGAAAGCUAUAUGCGCUGUGAGAGAGCUUUGCGUCCCAUUAGCUAGUUGGAGAGGUAACGGCUCACCAAGGCGAUGAUGGGUAGCCGGCCUGAGAGGGUGAUCGGCCACAAGGGGAAUGAGAAACGCCCCUUACCCAAAGGGGGGGAGGAAGGGGGGAAUAUUGAAAAAUGGACAAAAAGUUUAAUACAGAAAUGUGGGGGGAAAGAAGAAGUUUUUGGGAAGGAAAAGGGCUUUCAGUUGGGAAAAAAAAAAGGACGGAAACAACAAAAAAAGGAACGGAUAAAUACGG